rnacentral:rRNA from 1 species
GUGGGGAAUAUUGGACAAUGGGGGGAACCCUGAUCCAGCCAUGCCGCGUGUGUGAAGAAGGCCUUUUGGUUGUAAAGCACUUUAAGCGAGGAGGAGGCUACCGAGAUUAAUACUCUUGGAUAGUGGACGUUACUCGCAGAAUAAGCACCGGCUAACUCUGUGCCAGCAGCCGCGGUAAUACAGAGGGUGCAAGCGUUAAUCGGAUUUACUGGGCGUAAAGCGCGCGUAGGUGGCCAAUUAAGUCAAAUGUGAAAUCACCGAGCUUAAAUUGGUGAUUGCAUUCGAUACUGGUUGGCUAGAGUAUGGGAGAGGAUGGUAGAAUUCCAGGUGUAGCGGUGAAAUGCGUAGAGAUCUGGAGGAAUACCGAUGGCGAAGGCAGCCAUCUGGCCUAAUACUGACACUGAGGUGCGAAAGCAUGGGGAGCAAACAGGAUUAGAAACCCUUGUAGUCC